rnacentral:rRNA from 1 species
GCUUAACUGUGAGCGUGCGGGCGAUACGGGCAGACUUGAGUACUGCAGGGGAGACUGGAAUUCCUGGUGUAGCGGUGGAAUGCGCAGAUAUCAGGAGGAACACCGGUGGCGAAGGCGGGUCUCUGGGCAGUAACUGACGCUGAGGAGCGAAAGCGUGGGGAGCGAACAGGAUUAGAUACCCUGGUAGUCCACGCCGUAAACGGUGGGUACUAGGUGUGGGUUUCCUUCCUUGGGAUCCGUGCCGUAGCUAACGCAUUAAGUACCCCGCCUGGGGAGUACGGCCGCAAGGCUAAAACUCAAAGAAAUUGACGGGGGCCCGCACAAGCGGCGGAGCAUGUGGAUUAAUUCGAUGCAACGCGAAGAACCUUACCUGGGUUUGACAUGCACAGGACGCCGGCAGAGAUGUCGGUUCCCUUGUGGCCUGUGUGCAGGUGGUGCAUGGCUGUCGUCAGCUCGUGUCGUGAGAUGUUGGGUUAAGUCCCGCAACGAGCGCAACCCUUGUCUCAUGUUGCCAGCGGGUAAUGCCGGGGACUCGUGAGAGACUGCCGGGGUCAACUCGGAGGAAGGUGGGGAUGACGUCAAGUCAUCAUGCCCCUUAUGUCCAGGGCUUCACACAUGCUACAAUGGCCGGUACAAAGGGCUGCGAUGCCGCGAGGUUAAGCGAAUCCUUUUAAAGCCG